rnacentral:rRNA from 1 species
GACGAACCGUCCAAACGUUAUUCGGAAUCACUGGGCUUAAAGGGCGCGUAGGCGGGCUGUCAAGUCUGGGGUGAAAUCCCGCGGCUCAACCGUGGAACUGCCUUAGAUACUGACGGCCUCGAGGGAGGUAGGGGCGAGCGGAACUGUGAGUGGAGCGGUGAAAUGCGUUGAUAUUCACAGGAACUCCGGUGGCGAAGGCGGCUCGCUGGACCUCUUCUGACGCUGAGGCGCGAAAGCUAGGGGAGCAAACGGG